GACGAACGCUGGCGGCGUGCCUAAUACAUGCAAGUCGAACGCUUCUUUCCUCCCGAGUGCUUGCACUCAAUUGGAAAGAGGAGUGGCGGACGGGUGAGUAACACGUGGGUAACCUACCCAUCAGAGGGGGAUGACACUUGGAAACAGGUGCUAAUACCGCAUAACAGUUUAUGCCGCAUGGCAUAAGAGUGAAAGGCGCUUUCGGGUGUCGCUGAUGGAUGGACCCGCGGUGCAUUAGCUAGUUGGUGAGGUAACGGCUCACCAAGGCCACGAUGCAUAGCCGACCUGAGAGGGUGAUCGGCCACACUGGGACUGAGACACAGCCCAGACUCCUACGGGAGGCAGCAGUAGGGAAUCUUCGGCAAUGGACGAAAGUCUGACCGAGCAACGCCGCGUGAGUGAAGAAGGUUUUCGGAUCGUAAAACUCUGUUGUUAGAGAAGAACAAGGACGUUAGUAACUGAACGUCCCCUGACGGUAUCUAACCAGAAAGCCACGGCUAACUACGUG
rnacentral:rRNA from 1 species